AAGCUUUGCAUGCAAGUCGUGUGGCACGUGUACCUUGCUACUAGAACGUACCAUGGAUGGAAAAUGAAGCUGCUACCUACUCGUAAUCUCUCUACUAUAUAUACAUCACUCGACCAAUGUGCUAUGCAAAUCAAGUCUCACGCACAGCGCAAUUUGCUAGCCUGUCAAUCAUCGAAUAUCAUCGGCCGUACGUCCAUCAGCUGGGAGAAGACCGUCCAUUAAUCGUGCGACGACGAUGAGCUCCUCGGACGACGUCGCCGGUGGGUGCAAGAAGACUUCGUGGCCGGAGGUGGUCGGGCUGACCAUCAAGGAGGCCAAGGAGAUCAUCAUCAAGGACAAGCCUGACGCCGACAUCGUCGUCGUGCCGGUUGGUUCGGCGGUGACCGAAGACUUCAGGCCCAACCGCGUCCGCAUCUUCGCCGGCACUGUCGCCGAGAUCCCCCACGUUGGCUAGUUGGAUUGCCUUUGCUUGCUGUGGCCGGCAUAGAUGCUGGCUCAUAAAUAAAUCAAUAAUGGAGGAAUAAAAAUGUAUGGAAGUCAUAUGUUUGAUCAUUCAGUAAUCUA